UCUGCACUCAGCUUUGCAGUCUCCAAUGUCAUUGAUAUCAUGCAGCUAGUUGCUCAUACUGUUUCAAUUUUUGCACAUUCCUUCACUUUUUCCGGACAAGGUCGCAUCCUAACUGAACGUUAACAGUGAGUGUUUCUGAGCGUCUGCCCCUACCCCCUUGUUUAGCAUAAUUGUAUGAUCCUAAUCUGUCUUGGCACUUAACUGGCUACAUGGUUUGGCCAUCAAAAUAAAAUCCUACCCCUGCCAGCAGGGGAUAUUCAGCAGAGGUGAUCAUGAGAGCAAAAAAUCUGAUUUAAAGCCCGCUCGUUCAUAAACAACACGUCACUUGUAACAUGAGGGGAAAAUGCUGCAGUGCUAGAGCUGCAAUCUGUCUGACUGCAGGAGAAGAGCCUCUCUGAAGAGGUGUCUGAGCCCAACAACAACAUCCUGGUCAACACAACAAGAAAGGUGCCUUCCAAUCUCACUGGCUCCAGGCUGGAUUCACCACUGGAUCACUGAGGCUCAUGAUGUAUUGGUUUGGCAAAACUGCAGAUGACUUGUAUGUUCAGAAAUGUAUAACAGAGUUUUAGCAAAUAAGAGGACAUAACAAACAUGGCUGUCUAUAGUUGCUUACUGUAUCGUUAAUAGCUUAGCUAAUGGAGCUCUAAUUCGAAAUGUUAUCCAGAGCAGCCAUGUUAGUUGGGUGUUUUACUCUUUAUAUCCAAGUUGCUAAACAUUACUUUAAAACAGGCAUCUGCUGAAACUCUAUUCAUUUCAAAUGUGUCACAUCGGGAGAAAAACUAAAUGUGGUAUAAUGUACUUCUCCUCGCUUAGCCAUGCUCGUUUAUCCAAUUUGAUCCUCUGUAAUACUUUAGAAAGUUUACAUCAGUCAAUGCAAAAAUAUUAAUUAAGAUUAACUGAAGUUUUCUUGUCUUUUCCUUCAGUGUUCUCUCUUAUCCAUGUACAUACUUAGAAGUCAAAUUGUUACAAGAUCCAUGAAAUGCUAAACCAACUCGGAGCGACCUAUAUGCUGGGCACCCUUACGCUGUAGGCUUGUGCAGGGGCCUGGGUUCAGUUUUGCCCCAGACAAUUUCCUGAGUGUCAUUUCCCCCGACACUCUUUCUCCUGGUUUCCUGUCCACUCUCUGCACUGUACCAUCAAUAA